rnacentral:rRNA from 1 species
GACGAACGCUGGCGGCGUGCUUAACACAUGCAAGUCGAACGGAAAGGCCCUGCUUUUGUGGGGUGCUCGAGUGGCGAACGGGUGAGUAGCACGUGAGUAACCUGCCCUUGACUUUGGGAUAACUUCAGGAAACUGGGGCUAAUACCGGAUAGGAGCUCCUGCUGCAUGGUGGGGGUUGGAAAGUUUCGGCGGUUGGGGAUGGACUCGCGGCUUAUCAGCUUGUUGGUGGGGUAGUGGAUUACCAAGGCUUUGACGGGUAGCCGGCCUGAGAGGGUGACCGGCCACAUUGGGACUGAGAUACGGCCCAGACUCCUACGGGAGGCAGCAGUGGGGAAUAUUGCACAAUGGGCGGAAGCCUGAUGCAGCAACGCCGCGUGCGGGAUGACGGCCUUCGGGUUGUAAACCGCUUUCGCCUGUGACGAAGCGUGAGUGACGGUAAUGGGUAAAGAAGCACCGGCUAACUACGUG